CAUGUAUCGGAAAAGGCCCAAAUUGAUAUCGUCAAACAAUUUGAAUUACCACUUCAAAUUUGCAUUGGUGGAGUGGCAAUCUUGUAAUUUAGUAGCCACGUCAGACUACACCUCUGCUAUUCGGAUAUCGAGAAGAUUAGCUGCAAGUCAAUCCCAAUGGCGGCGAAGACGACGACGACGACGUCCUUCGUCGCCGCCCGGAACCUCACUCCUCGACGUACUUCUCCCUCCUCGCCGCCAGCGACAAGUCGUUUCUUCGAGCCCCCGCAUUGCUCGCCCUAUCGUCCAACAACAACAAGAGGCAAGCAAACUGAAACUCCAAGUCGGUUUUCUGCAACCGCAGAAGUGUAUACUUAGUUACAGUCCGACUGAUUUGAUUCCAGUUUUUUGCAAGGCUGAGGUGGCGAUUCUCUGCGAAGAUUGCGACGGGAUAGGGUGGCUGCUUUGCGAUUUUUGCAAAGGGCAGAAAACGAAUGUGAAGUCCGAGACCAAUUGAAUCUACCUUCGAUGGCCAUCUUGCGGAGCUAUUGGUCAGGUGUUGUGUUCAAAGUGCAAGGCAUUCAAAUGUGUCACAUUCCCAAAUUACAAUGAUGGUGAGAAGGUGUCUAUUUAAGCCUCCAAUUUCUUGUAUCAAAGACGCUGCACCCGAAAUUUCGAGUUUGAUUCUUUCUUCCGCCAAUACAUGAAUGUGAUAUGAUUGUCGAAUUCCUCCAAUUUUUGUACAGCUUAUGUUCAUUUUUCAGGUUCUCAUGUUUUAUGUUUGUGUAGUUUUGUUUGAGAGGAAGCAAUUUACAAGUGAAAAAUGAGAAAACCAUUUUCUGGUU